GAUGAACGCUAGCGGGAGGCUUAACACAUGCAAGUCGAGGGGCAGCACGAGGUAGCAAUACUUUGGUGGCGACCGGCGCACGGGUGAGUAACGCGUAUGUAACCUACCCUGUACAGGGGGAUAACCCGGAGAAAUUCGGACUAAUACCCCAUAAAGAUAUUUAGAGGCAUCUUUGAAUAUUUAAAGUUCCGGCGGUACGGGAUGGGCAUGCGUAACAUUAGCUAGUUGGUAAGGUAACGGCUUACCAAGGCAACGAUGUUUAGGGGUCCUGGGAGGGUGAUACCCCACACUGGUACUGAGACACGGACCAGACUCCUACGGGAGGCAGCAGUGAGGAAUAUUGGUCAAUGGGCGCAAGGCUGAACCAGCCAUCCCGCGUGAAGGAAGAAUGCGCUAUGCGUUGUAAACUUCUUUUCCAGGGGAAUAAAAUUUUGUACGUGUACGGAAUUGAAGGUACCCUGGGAAUAAGCAUUGGCUAACUCCGUGCCAGCCGCCGCAGUAACAC
rnacentral:rRNA from 1 species